rnacentral:rRNA from 1 species
UACGAAGGGGGCUAGCGUUGUUCGGAAUUACUGGGCGUAAAGCGCGCGCAGGCGGCUAUCCAAGUCAGGGGUGAAAGCCCAGAGCUCAACUCUGGAAUUGCCUUUGAGACUGAGUGGCUUGAGUACGAGAGAGGUGAGUGGAAUUCCCAGUGUAGAGGUGAAAUUCGUAGAUAUUGGGAAGAACACCGGUGGCGAAGGCGGCUCACUGGCUCGUAACUGACGCUCAUGCACGACAGCGUGGGGAGCAAACAGG